CCUACGGGGGGCAGCAGUGGGGAAUAUUGGGCAAUGGAGGCAACUCUGACCCAGCAACGCAGCGUGAGCGAUGAAGGUCUUCGGAUUGUAAAGCUCUUUAAGCGGGGACGAAGAAAGUGACUGUACCCGCAGAAUAAGCCUCGGCUAACUACGUGCCAGCAGCAGCGGUAAUACGUAGGAGGCAAGCGUGAUCCGGAAUGGCUGGGCGUAAAGGGUGCGUAGGUGGGUUGGCAAGUUGGUAGCGUAAUCCCGGGGCUCAACCGCGGUACUACUACCAAAACUGGUGAACUUGAGUGCAGGGGAGGUGAAUGGAAUUCGCAGUGUAGCGGUGGAAUGCUUAGAUAUUGCGAAGAACUCCAGCGGCGAAGGCGAUUCACUGGACUGUAACUGACACUGAGGCACGAAAGCGUGGGGAGCAAACAGGAUUAGAUACCCUAGUAGUC
rnacentral:rRNA from 1 species